rnacentral:rRNA from 1 species
UUAAGCGACUAAGCGUACACGGUGGAUGCCCUGGCAGUCAGAGGCGAUGAAGGACGUGCUAAUCUGCGAUAAGCGUCGGUAAGGUGAUAUGAACCGUUAUAACCGGCGAUUUCCGAAUGGGGAAACCCAGUGUGUUUCGACACACUAUCAUUAACUGAAUCCAUAGGUUAAUGAGGCGAACCGGGGGAACUGAAACAUCUAAGUACCCCGAGGAAAAGAAAUCAACCGAGAUUCCCCCAGUAGCGGCGAGCGAACGGGGAGCAGCCCAGAGCCUGAAUCAGUAUGUGUGUUAGUGGAAGCGUCUGGAAAGGCGCGCGAUACAGGGUGACAGCCCCGUACACAAAAAUGCACAUAUUGUGAGCUCGAUGAGUAGGGCGGGACACGUGGUAUCCUGUCUGAAUAUGGGGGGACCAUCCUCCAAGGCUAAAUACUCCUGACUGACCGAUAGUGAACCAGUACCGUGAGGGAAAGGCGAAAAGAACCCCGGCGAGGGGAGUGAAAAAGAACCUGAAACCGUGUACGUACAAGCAGUGGGAGCACGCUUAGGCGUGUGACUGCGUACCUUUUGUAUAAUGGGUCAGCGACUUAUAUUCUGUAGCAAGGUUAACCGAAUAGGGGAGCCGAAGGGAAACCGAGUCUUAACUGGGCGUUAAGUUGCAGGGUAUAGACCCGAAACCCGGUGAUCUAGCCAUGGGCAGGUUGAAGGUUGGGUAACACUAACUGGAGGACCGAACCGACUAAUGUUGAAAAAUUAGCGGAUGACUUGUGGCUGGGGGUGAAAGGCCAAUCAAACCGGGAGAUAGCUGGUUCUCCCCGAAAGCUAUUUAGGUAGCGCCUCGUGAACUCAUCUCCGGGGGUAGAGCACUGUUUCGGCAAGGGGGUCAUCCCGACUUACCAACCCGAUGCAAACUGCGAAUACCGGAGAAUGUUAUCACGGGAGACACACGGCGGGUGCUAACGUCCGUCGUGAAGAGGGAAACAACCCAGACCGCCAGCUAAGGUCCCAAAGUCAUGGUUAAGUGGGAAACGAUGUGGGAAGGCCCAGACAGCCAGGAUGUUGGCUUAGAAGCAGCCAUCAUUUAAAGAAAGCGUAAUAGCUCACUGGUCGAGUCGGCCUGCGCGGAAGAUGUAACGGGGCUAAACCAUGCACCGAAGCUGCGGCAGCGACGCUUAUGCGUUGUUGGGUAGGGGAGCGUUCUGUAAGCCUGUGAAGGUGUGCUGUGAGGCAUGCUGGAGGUAUCAGAAGUGCGAAUGCUGACAUAAGUAACGAUAAAGCGGGUGAAAAGCCCGCUCGCCGGAAGACCAAGGGUUCCUGUCCAACGUUAAUCGGGGCAGGGUGAGUCGACCCCUAAGGCGAGGCCGAAAGGCGUAGUCGAUGGGAAACAGGUUAAUAUUCCUGUACUUGGUGUUACUGCGAAGGGGGGACGGAGAAGGCUAUGUUGGCCGGGCGACGGUUGUCCCGGUUUAAGCGUGUAGGCUGGUUUUCCAGGCAAAUCCGGAAAAUCAAGGCUGAGGCGUGAUGACGAGGCACUACGGUGCUGAAGCAACAAAUGCCCUGCUUCCAGGAAAAGCCUCUAAGCAUCAGGUAACAUCAAAUCGUACCCCAAACCGACACAGGUGGUCAGGUAGAGAAUACCAAGGCGCUUGAGAGAACUCGGGUGAAGGAACUAGGCAAAAUGGUGCCGUAACUUCGGGAGAAGGCACGCUGAUAUGUAGGUGAAGUCCCUUGCGGAUGGAGCUGAAAUCAGUCGAAGAUACCAGCUGGCUGCAACUGUUUAUUAAAAACACAGCACUGUGCAAACACGAAAGUGGACGUAUACGGUGUGACGCCUGCCCGGUGCCGGAAGGUUAAUUGAUGGGGUCAGCGCAAGCGAAGCUCUUGAUCGAAGCCCCGGUAAACGGCGGCCGUAACUAUAACGGUCCUAAGGUAGCGAAAUUCCUUGUCGGGUAAGUUCCGACCUGCACGAAUGGCGUAAUGAUGGCCAGGCUGUCUCCACCCGAGACUCAGUGAAAUUGAACUCGCUGUGAAGAUGCAGUGUACCCGCGGCAAGACGGAAAGACCCCGUGAACCUUUACUAUAGCUUGACACUGAACAUUGAGCCUUGAUGUGUAGGAUAGGUGGGAGGCUUGGAAGUGUGGACGCCAGUCUGCAUGGAGCCGACCUUGAAAUACCACCCUUUAAUGUUUGAUGUUCUAACGUUGACCCGUAAUCCGGGGUGCGGACAGUGUCUGGUGGGUAGUUUGACUGGGGCGGUCUCCUCCUAAAGAGUAACGGAGGAGCACGAAGGUUGGCUAAUCCUGGUCGGACAUCAGGAGGUUAGUGCAAUGGCAUAAGCCAGCUUGACUGCGAGCGUGACGGCGCGAGCAGGUGCGAAAGCAGGUCAUAGUGAUCCGGUGGUUCUGAAUGGAAGGGCCAUCGCUCAACGGAUAAAAGGUACUCCGGGGAUAACAGGCUGAUACCGCCCAAGAGUUCAUAUCGACGGCGGUGUUUGGCACCUCGAUGUCGGCUCAUCACAUCCUGGGGCUGAAGUAGGUCCCAAGGGUAUGGCUGUUCGCCAUUUAAAGUGGUACGCGAGCUGGGUUUAGAACGUCGUGAGACAGUUCGGUCCCUAUCUGCCGUGGGCGCUGGAGAACUGAGGGGGGCUGCUCCUAGUACGAGAGGACCGGAGUGGACGCAUCACUGGUGUUCGGGUUGUCAUGCCAAUGGCACUGCCCGGUAGCUAAAUGCGGAAGAGAUAAGUGCUGAAAGCAUCUAAGCACGAAACUUGCCCCGAGAUGAGUUCUCCCUGACUCCUUGAGAGUCCUGAAGGAACGUUGAAGACGACGACGUUGAUAGGCCGGGUGUGUAAGCGCAGCGAUGCGUUGAGCUAACCGGUACUAAUGAACCGUGAGGCUUAACCUU